AUAUAUACCUAAUAUGAAAUAAAAUCCUUCAUACAAACUAAGGUGUUGACUUCAGAUUGGAUUGUAGUAUGAUGAUUCAAGGAAGAUUAUUCCACUUGUUGUUUUCCCCCAAUAUUUGUAUUCUUUAAGAAUGUUAUUUUAUAUCUUGGUACUUUUACUCACAGCAUCAGGUCUUCCCAGAAGUGCAAAAUAUGGGAUUAUCAUUGGCGUUGGAAUACCAGGACUCGUGUGCUUAAUCGGACUUGCGUGUUUCGCAUUUGGUAGGAUCAGGGCUUUCAGUCACCGCGGUCGUUUAAACUCUAGCGAGCUCGGAAUCAUCACGAUCUCUCAGCAGCCGGUGGUCGGAGCUGCUGGCCUUGAUGGGCCAACCAUUGCGUCUUUUCCGAAGACAGUGCUCGGGGAGAGCCGGAGGCUUCCGAAGCCUAGUGAUAGCACUUGUCCAAUAUGCUUAUCCGAAUACGAGCCCAAGGAAACAUUGAAGUCCAUUCCAGAGUGCAAUCACUAUUUUCAUAACAAUUGUAUAGAUGAAUGGCUUAAGCUCAACGGCACAUGCCCCGUAUGCCGCAAUUCACCGGAGAGUUCAAUUGGGACGCCUUGCUCAUCAAUGUCUUUCUCAUAUUCAUUGUCAUCAUCGGGCCAUCAUUAGUCCAACAUUUUUCGAUAGCAUUACAUUUACAUUGAUAUACAUAUAUAAUGAAGUUAAUCGAGUUAAAGUGUCAUUUUUGCUAUGUCGUAAAUUCAUAGUUGGAUUAGUAAAUCACUAAAUUUUGUUGAAGUUGUCGGUGGGGUGGAAGCAAGAAUGAAGUUCUGGGUCAUGUUUAGUAUAGAGUACUUAAUUAUGUAAACUACUUUUGACUUUUAUGUAGAUCGCGAG
rnacentral:lncRNA from 1 species